rnacentral:rRNA from 1 species
CCUACGGGUGGCAGCAGUGAGGAAUAUUGGUCAAUGGUCGGGAGACUGAACCAGCCAAGCCGCGUGAAGGAUGAAGGUACACAGUUUCGUAAACCUCUUUUGUCAGGGAACAAAUGCGGGGACGUGUCCACGUAUGAGUGUACCUUAAGAAAAAGCAUCGGCUAACUCCGUUCCAGCAGCCGCGGUAAUACGGAGGGUGCGAGCGUUAGCCGGAUUUAUUGGGUUUAAAGGGGGCUCAGGCGGGGUGGUAAGUCAGGGGUCAAAUGCCGGGGCUCAAACCCCGGCCUGCAGUUGAAAUUGGCAGUCUUGAGUAGGAGAGAGGUAUGUGGAAUGCGCGGUGUAGCGGUGAAAUGCGUAGAUA